GGUCGCGCCUGAGGCGUAUGGAAGUUCCUGGGCCAGGGAUUGAAUCUGAUUUGCAGCUUCGACCUUCACCACAGCUGCUGUGGCAACGGCAAAUCCUUAACCCACUGCACCGGGACUGAAGUCCAGCCACCACAAAGACGAUGCCGGAUCCUCAACCUGCCGUGCCACAGUGGGAACUCCAGAGAUGCUUUUUAUGACAGGUUACAAAGUCAUGCUACCAUCCUGCCAACUCUGUACUCCGCCCCCCCUCGGUGUGCCAGGCUCUGUACCAUGACAGUGACUCUGCCAGGCCGGUGCUGUGGCUGCGGUACAGACAAGAACACCAAGUAACUCCCAGUCACUGAACGGCGGGGCUGGGGCUCAAACGAGUUCUCUGCCCCCAGAGCCUGAUUCCUUCCAUUCUUUCCACACACCUGCACUCACCCGGCAGCGGUGAGCUCGGGGGCCACGGGGAGAGGACACCCAGGGGUGGGGGUGGGGUCCCCAUCGCAUCAGUUCUGAGUUUUGGGGCCACUCUGAGAAUUACCCAAGAGGAAGCCCAAGAGCAAAGAGGCUGUUCUAGGAACUCGGGCAGGAGAGAUGGAGCGGGGUCUGUGCUUCCUGGAGGGGCUCAGGCAGCACUGCGAGCCCCUGCUCUGGAACUUGUCCGCUUCUCAGGAGAGUGGGGCCGACUUCCCUUGCCUUCUGAAGCUGGGGAGAUGUUUUUUGGUCAGACAGCAGGUGGGGUACUGAUGCCGGGUGACCUUCAGAGCCCGCUUACGAUAGGCAUGUGGAUUCCACCUGCCGCCCCAUCCCUGGGCCUCACCCCGGGACCCCAGCGGCCACCCGUGAAGAAGCGCACAUGGGUCCAUGAGGAGAGGCCCCUGAGGAAGAGCCUGGUGAAGACCCCAGGCCGGCAAAUAGCAUCAUGGACCAGCUGGGCCACCCGCGGGCCUGGGCUGAGUCCCUGGCCCAUGGCAUCUAGGAUCGUGGGAAAUGGCUGCUUCACACCGUUGCCCUCCGGGCCGGAUGCCUCGCAGCCACGGUAACCAGAACAGGAGGAUACUGGUUGGGACUCGGGCAGGUAGGAGCGGACCUGGAGAAAAGUGGGCCCACCUGAGAUGCUGAAAGGAAACUCACAUUAACAAGAUGUAGUCCUGAGAGUGUGGGAAAACCUCUCAGGAAGACAGGAGGAAGGCCCAGAUGGAACACAUUUUUAAGAUCUCUCUUUACACUUUGAGUGAUGGAUGCAUCUCGUCUCGAGAGCUUCAUUCGUUUGGUUUUAUAAUUUGACCGCUGGUCAAUAGCACAUAACUCAGGGAUUGGUUCAAAUUUGAGUUCAGCAUCCAUUCAUUAGGAUCUUAGCACAGAUAAAGAUUUUGAGAUGAAGAAAAUGGGGCGGCUGAGGGCUAAGUGGGGGGCUGGCCACCAGGAAGGAAGGAAAAUUAGGGACACGAAGUACAAAUGGUGCCUCUUGAUCCUCUGCUGUUACCUGGCACCAUGUCAGCAGCCGGGCACCAUGGCUCGAACCCACUGAAUUCUCACGAUAAACCUGGAAUCGCCACUGCCUCCCUCCCACCAGGAACCCAGGAGCAGGGAGUCGCUUGCACGAGGACCCAUGCUGUGGGCACUGCGCCUGCCCCUCACCCACGCCGUCUGCACAGGUGGGCUCUCCGGUCCGCACCAUCAUAAGUCUAGGAAUGAGUGGGCUGCUGUCUGCUUCCAGGACGUAAAACCUGGGGUUAGGGAGAGUGUGAGAGAGUGUGAGAGUGUGUGUGUGUGUGUGUGUGUGUGUGUGUAGGGUGGGGGGACAGGUGACCACACACACACAGCCCUCAAGGCAGCUCUCAAAAGGGCAGAUGGCAGAGACGCCAGAUGGCCCACAACCACGAGUCUCUUCCAGCCAUCACGGUUAAGCGGUUAAGCGGUUAAGCCAUCACGGUUAAGCGGUGGCCGGUGGGACGGGAUGGAAGAGAUACACCUGCCUUCCUAGAGGGGGCGGCACUCCCCUCACUGGCUGGUGAGCAGUCUUAGGGCCUGGACCACUGGCACGGGGGGCCUGCCUGUCCCCACCUGUCCUAACGCAUCCUAGGCUGGCUCUGCCCAGGCUCUUAUGUGGGAGAGAAAAACACUUGUGUUUAUGCCAUGGUGAUUUUGGGUCUCAGCUAUGGGGGCAGAAUUUAUAUCCUAGUUAAUGAAGGCCUCAGAGGCGAUGUGAGCAGAGUGGCUGGAAGCUGAGGAGCAAUUACGCGUGGAAAUAUUUUAUUGAUCUCCCUCCCCCGCAGUGCACGUGCAUAAGGUCAGGCAGGUGGAGGGUUCUGAGAAAAGGUGGGACCCCCGCAUGGAGCAGGGGCCCAUUCUUCUUUGCUUUUGGAGUUUGUGUUUUUCUUUAUGCGCACACCUUUCCUCCUGAGUGAUGUCUAUUUCGGUCUAGUGUUAAAUGCUUAAAUCGAGCUAGCUGAGCCUGCAUCCGCUGGGAGAGUGGACGGGAAGCCCACAAGCUGGACUUUGUUCCCAGGUCCUUUGUGUGCAUCGAAAUCUUAGUGGAGUGUGGAUUUUCAGCAAAACAGGGAAUAAUAAAGCCCAUGUCUGCUGCAGGCUAGCACAGACGAAUGCUCUGGAACUCCGAGAGGUGCUCUGAGGUCAUCAGAGACAAAUCCAAACAAACUCCCCACACGUCCGGGCUGUGUCUUCCUACUCCAAGCAUUUUAGUUGACCUCUGUAAAACUAAAUGUAGAACUACCAUAUGACCCAGCAAUCCCACUCUUGGGCAUACAUCCAGACAAAACUUUCCUUGAAAAAGAUACAUGCACCCAUAUGUUCAUUGCAGCACUAUUCACAAUAGCCAAGACAU
rnacentral:lncRNA from 1 species